CUACGGGUGGCAGCAGUGGGGAAUAUUGCACAAUGGGCGCAAGCCUGAUGCAGCCAUGCCGCGUGUAUGAAGAAGGCCUUCGGGUUGUAAAGUACUUUCAGCGGGGAGGAAGGGAGUAAAGUUAAUACCUUUGCUCAUUGACGUUACCCGCAGAAAAAGCACCGGCUAACUCCGUGCCAGGCAGCCGCGGUAAUACGGAGGGUGCAAGCGUUAAUCGGAAUUACUGGGCGUAAAGCGCACGCAGGCGGUUUGUUAAGUCAGAUGUGAAAUCCCCGGGCUCAACCUGGGAACUGCAUCUGAUACUGGCAAGCUUGAGUCUCGUAGAGGGGGGUAGAAUUCCAGGUGUAGCGGUGAAAUGCGUAGAGAUCUGGAGGAAUACCGGUGGCGAAGGCGGCCCCCUGGACGAAGACUGACGCUCAGGUGCGAAAGCGUGGGGAGCAAACAGGAUUAGAUACCCCCGUAGUC
rnacentral:rRNA from 1 species